GCUCGCAUGGCUUAGUUGGUAAAGCGCGUCACUAGUAAGGGCGAGGGAGCUCAGAGCUUAUGACGAGAUCCUGUGUUCGAAUCACAGUGUGAGCA